rnacentral:rRNA from 1 species
GCACUGUCAUAAGUCUAUACAUGCAGUCGAGCGGACAGAUGGGAGCUUGCUCCCUGAAGUCAGCGGCGGACGGGUGAGUAACACGUGGGCAACCUGCCUGUAAGACUGGGAUAACUCCGGGAAACCGGGGCUAAUACCGGAUAAUUCUUUUCCUCUCAUGAGGAAAAGCUGAAAGAUGGUUUCGGCUAUCACUUACAGAUGGGCCCGCGGCGCAUUAGCUAGUUGGUGAGGUAACGGCUCACCAAGGCCACGAUGCGUAGCCGACCUGAGAGGGUGAUCGGCCACACUGGGACUGAGACACGGCCCAGUCUCCCUUACGGAGGGCCACAUCAGUAGGCAUUCUUGCCGCAAUGGACGAAAGUCUGACUGAGCACCGCCAGCGGUGAGUGAUGCAGGUUUGCGUAUCGUGAAACUCUGUUGUCAGGGAAGAACAAGUACCGGAGUAACUGGCGGUAACUUGACGGUACCUGACCAGAAAGGCACAGCUAACUACGUGCCAGCAGACGCGGUAAUACGUAGGUGGCAAGCGAUGUCCUGAAGUAUUGGGCGUAAAGCGCGCGCAGGCGGUUCCUUAAGUCUGAUGUGAAAGCCCCCGGCUCAAGCCGGGGAGGGUCAUUGGAAACUGGGGAACUUGAGUGCAGAAGAGAAGAGUGGGAGUUCCACGUGUAGCGGUGAAGUGCGUAGAGAUGUGGAGGAACACCAGUGGCGAAGGCGACUCUUUGGUCUGUAACUGACGCUGAGGCGCGAAAGCGUGGGGAGCAAACAGGAUUAGAUACCCUGGUAGUCCACGCCGUAAACGAUGAGUGCUAAGUGUUAGAUGGUUUCCGCCCUUUAGUGCUGCAGCAAACGCAUUAAGCACUCCGCCUCGGGGAGUACGGCCGCAACGCUGAAACUCACAAGGAAUUGACCGGGGCCCGCACGAGCGGUGGAGCAUGUGGUUUAGUUCGAAGCUACGCGGAGAAGCUUACCACGUCUUGACAUCUCCUGACUACCCUAGAGAUAAUGCGAUCCCCUUCUGGGGACAGGAUGACAGGUUGUGCAUGGGUGUCGUCAGCUCAUGUCCUGACAUGUUGGGUUGAGUCCCGCAACGAGCGCAACCCCUGAUCCUAGGUGCCAGCAUUCAGGUGGCCACUCUAACGUGGACUGGCGGUAACAGCUUGCAAACCGGAGGGAGUUACGUCGAAAUCAUCAUCAUCCUGCCUUAUGAGCCCUGGGCCACACACGUGCUACAAUGGAUGGUACAAAGGGCUGCAAAACCGCGAGGUUAAGCGAAUCCCAUAAAACCAUUCUCAGUUCGGAUUGCAGGCUGCAACUCGCCUGCAUGAAGCCGGAAUCGCUAGUAAUCGCGGAUCAGCAUGCCGCGGUGAAUACGUUCCCGGGCCUUGUACACACCGCCCGUCACACCACGAGAGUUUGUAACACCCGAAGUCGGUGGGGUAACCUUUUGGAGCCAGCCGCCUAACGGUGGGACAGAUGAUUGGGGCGAAGUCGAGACAAUGCAGACGCC